rnacentral:rRNA from 1 species
GCAAGUCGAGCGGACAGAAGGGAGCUUGCUCCCGGAUGUUAGCGGCGGACGGGUGAGUAACACGUGGGUAACCUGCCUGUAAGACUGGGAUAACUUCGGGAAACCGGAGCUAAUACCGGAUAGUUCCUUGAACCGCAUGGUUCAAGGAUGAAAGACGGUUUCGGCUGUCACUUACAGAUGGACCCGCGGCGCAUUAGCUAGUUGGUGGGGUAAUGGCUCACCAAGGCGACGAUGCGUAGCCGACCUGAGAGGGUGAUCGGCCACACUGGGACUGAGACACGGCCCAGACUCCUACGGGAGGCAGCAGUAGGGAAUCUUCCGCAAUGGACGAAAGUCUGACGGAGCAACGCCGCGUGAGUGAUGAAGGUUUUCGGAUCGUAAAGCUCUGUUGUUAGGGAAGAACAAGUGCGAGAGUAACUGCUCGCACCUUGACGGUACCUAACCAGAAAGCCACGGCUAACUACGUGCCAGCAGCCGCGGUAAUACGUAGGUGGCAAGCGUUGUCCGGAAUUAUUGGGCGUAAAGGGCUCGCAGGCGGUUUCUUAAGUCUGAUGUGAAAGCCCCCGGCUCAACCGGGGAGGGUCAUUGGAAACUGGGAAACUUGAGUGCAGAAGAGGAGAGUGGAAUUCCACGUGUAGCGGUGAAAUGCGUAGAGAUGUGGAGGAACACCAGUGGCGAAGGCGACUCUCUGGUCUGUAACUGACGCUGAGGAGCGAAAGCGUGGGGAGCGAACAGGAUUAGAUACCCUGGUAGUCCACGCCGUAAACGAUGAGUGCUAAGUGUUAGGGGGUUUCCGCCCCUUAGUGCUGCAGCUAACGCAUUAAGCACUCCGCCUGGGGAGUACGGUCGCAAGACUGAAACUCAAAGGAAUUGACGGGGGCCCGCACAAGCGGUGGAGCAUGUGGUUUAAUUCGAAGCAACGCGAAGAACCUUACCAGGUCUUGACAUCCUCUGACAACCCUAGAGAUAGGGCUUUCCCUUCGGGGACAGAGUGACAGGUGGUGCAUGGUUGUCGUCAGCUCGUGUCGUGAGAUGUUGGGUUAAGUCCCGCAACGAGCGCAACCCUUGAUCUUAGUUGCCAGCAUUCAGUUGGGCACUCUAAGGUGACUGCCGGUGACAAACCGGAGGAAGGUGGGGAUG